GGAGAGAUGGCUGAGUCCGGUUGAAGGCGCCCGACUCGAAAUCGGGUGUACUAGUGAUAGUACCGUGGGUUCGAAUCCCACUCUCUCCGCCA
rnacentral:tRNA from 1 species